AGUGAACGCUGGCGGUAGGCCUAACACAUGCAAGUCGAACGGCAGCACAGUAAGAGCUUGCUCUUACGGGUGGCGAGUGGCGGACGGGUGAGGCAUACAUCGGAAUCUACUUUUUCGUGGGGGAUAACGUAGGGAAACUUACGCUAAUACCGCAUACGACCUACGGGUGAAAGCAGGGGAUCUUCGGACCUUGCGCGAUUGAAUGAGCCGAUGUCGGAUUAGCUAGUUGGCGGGGUAAAGGCCCACCAAGGCAACGAUCCGUAGCUGGUCUGAGAGGAUGAUCGGCCACACUGGAACUGAGACACGGUCCAGACUCCUACGGGAGGCAGCAGUGGGGAAUAUUGGACAAUGGGCGAAAGCCUGAUGCAGCAAUGCCGCGUGGGUGAAGAAGGUCUUCGGGUUGUAAAGCCCUUUUGUUGGGAAAGAAAAGCAGCAGGUUAAUACCCGGCUGUUCUGACGGUACCCAAAGAAUAAGCAACGGCUAACUUCGUG
rnacentral:rRNA from 1 species